GAUGAAGAACGCAGUGAAAUGCGAUAAGUAAUGUGAAUUGCAGAAUUCAGUGAAUCAUCGAAUCUUUGAACGCACCUUGCGCCCUUUGGCCAUUCCGAAGGGCAUGCCUGUUUGAGUAUCAUGAACACCUCAACUCUCAUGGCUUGCCAUGAUGAGCUUGGACUUUGGGGGUCUUGCUGGCCUGCGGUCAGCUCCUCUCAAAUGAAUUAGCUUUCCAGUGUUUGGUUGGCAUCACAGGUGUGAUAACUAUCUACGCUUGUGGUUUCCACCAGGUAACCUUCAGUAACAUGGGGGUUUGCUGGAGCUCAUAAAUGUCUCUCCUCAGUGGGGACAGCUCUUUGAACAUUUGAUCUCAAAUCAGGUAGGACUACCCGCUGAACUUAAGCAUAUCAAUAAGCGGAGGA
rnacentral:misc_RNA from 1 species